UAAUUUGUUCGAGGCAGAUCCUCAUCUAGUUGUGGUAGCCUCACACUUGACUGCUCAGAAUCACCUGUUAUCGCAAGUCCAACUAUAUCAUUGACACUCAUAAAACAUAUUUGAAAGAAAAAAGUUCAUAAAAUUAUAGU
rfam:Populus trichocarpa scaffold_2_contig_83, whole genome shotgun sequence.